CAACCACCAUCUUGCUGACUCCCGAGAGGAAGUUCCACAGCUUCGGGUAUGCCGCCAGGGACUUUUACCAUGACCUGGAUCCCAAUGAGGCCAAGCAGUGGCUGUACCUGGAGAAGUUCAAGAUGAAGCUGCACACCACUGGGGACCUCACCAUGGAUACAGACCUGACGGCAGCAAAUGGCAAGAAAGUCAAAGCCCUUGAAAUCUUUGCUUAUGCCCUGCAGUACUUUAAGGAGCAGGCGCUGAAGGUAGGACUGAUAGUUGAGGCCAGCCAGCUGUGUGCUAGGCGGUGGCACCCGUGCCAGCUCCGUGUCUCGGGCUGCUGCACCUGCUGGCCAGGGUAGGAGGCACAGCCUGGAGGGAGAGUGUGGGCUUUGGAGUCAACACAACAGGAUGAACCCUCACACGCUGCUGGUGGGAAAGUAAAAUGGUGCGGCCUCUUUGGAAAACAGUUUGGCAAUUCCUAAAAAAGUAAAGCACAGAGUUACCGUAGGACCCAGCAGCUCCACUCCUGGGUGGAGAAAUGAAAGAAAUCCCUAAGAGAAAUGAAAGAAGAAAUGAAAUCCCUAAGAGAAAUGAAAUCCCUAAGAGAAAUGAAAGAAGAUGUCCACACACACGUAUACAUGAAUGUGCAUAGCAACAUUAUUCAUAACUGUGAAAAGUAGAAACAGUCCACAUGCUGUCCACACAAACACACGUAUACAUGAAUGUGCAUAGCAACAUUAUUCACAACGACGAA
rnacentral:lncRNA from 1 species